rnacentral:rRNA from 1 species
UACGUAGGGUGCAGGCGUUAAUCGGAAUUACUGGGCGUAAAGCGUGCGCAGGCGGUUUCUUAAGUCAGAUGUGAAAGCCCCGGGCUUAACCUGGGAACUGCGUUUGAAACUGGGAGACUUGAGUGUGGCAGAGGGGGGUGGAAUUCCACGUGUAGCAGUGAAAUGCGCAGAUAUCAGGAGGAACACCGGUGGCGAAGGCGGUGGUCUGGGCCGGCACUGACGCUGAGACGCGAAAGCGUGGGGAGCAAACAGG